rnacentral:rRNA from 1 species
AGAGUUUGAUCCUGGCUCAGGAUAAACGCUGGCGGCGCACAUAAGACAUGCAAGUCGAACGGAAGUCGUUGUAAUGAAAUGGAAAUGGACAGAGAACUUGUUCGAAGAAAAUUGAAGUAGACUUACAACAAUGGCUUUAGUGGCGGACUGGUGAGUAACGCGUAAGGAACCUGCCUUUUAGAGGGGAAUAACAAUGAGAAAUCAUUGCUAAUACCGCAUAUGCCGAGAGAAUCACAUGGUACAAUCGGGAAAGGAGCAAUCCGCUAAAAGAUGGCCUUGCGUCUGAUUAGAUAGUUGGUGGGGUAACGGCCUACCAAGUCGACGAUCAGUAGCCGGACUGAGAGGUUGAACGGCCACAUUGGGACUGAGAUACGGCCCAGACUCCUACGGGAGGCAGCAGUCGGGAAUAUUGCGCAAUGGAGGAAACUCUGACGCAGUGACGCCGCGUAUAGGAAGAAGGUUUUCGGAUUGUAAACUAUUGUCGUUAGGGAAGAGAAAGGACAGUACCUAAGGAGGAAGCUCCGGCUAACUACGUGCCAGCAGCCGCGGUAAUACGUAGGGAGCGAGCGUUAUCCGGAAUUAUUGGGUGUAAAGGGUGCGUAGACGGGAAGAUAAGUUAGUUGUGAAAUCCCUCGGCUUAACUGAGGAACUGCAACUAAAACUGUUUUUCUUGAGUGCAGGAGAGGUAAGUGGAAUUCCUAGUGUAGCGGUGAAAUGCGUAGAUAUUAGGAGGAACACCAGUGGCGAAGGCGACUUACUGGACUGUAACUGACGUUGAGGCACGAAAGUGUGGGGAGCAAACAGGAUUAGAUACCCUGGUAGUCCACACCGUAAACGAUGGAUACUAGGUGUAGGAGAUAUUAAGUCUUCUGUGCCGUCGCAAACGCAAUAAGUAUCCCACCUGGGGAGUACGGCCGCAAGGUUGAAACUCAAAGGAAUUGACGGGGGCCCGCACAAGCAGUGGAGUAUGUGGUUUAAUUCGAAGCAACGCGAAGAACCUUACCAAGGCUUGACAUAUACAGGAAUAUUUAAGAGAUUAAAUAGCUCUUCGGAGUCUGUAUACAGGUGGUGCAUGGUUGUCGUCAGCUCGUGCCGUGAGGUGUUGGGUUAAGUCCCGCAACGAGCGCAACCCCUGUCCUUAGUUGCCAGCAUGUAGAGAUGGGAACUCUAAGGAGACUGCCGUAGAUAAUACGGAGGAAGGUGGGGAUGACGUCAAAUCAUCAUGCCCUUUAUGUCUUGGGCUACACACGUACUACAAUGGAUGUUACAAAGGGAAGCGAAGUAGUGAUAUGGAGCGAAACCCAAAAAGCAUCCCCAGUUCGGAUUGUAGGCUGAAAUUCGCCUACAUGAAGCCGGAAUUGCUAGUAAUGGCAGGUCAGCAUACUGCCGUGAAUACGUUCCCGGGCCUUGUACACACCGCCCGUCACACCAUGAGAGUUGGGGAUACCCGAAGCCUGUGAGCCAACAGUUAAAUGAGGCAGCAGUCGAAGGUAGAAUCAAUGAUUGGGGUGAAGUCGUAACAAGGUAGCCGUAUCGGAAGGUGCGGCUG